rnacentral:lncRNA from 1 species
GUUAAUGUCCUAUCCAGAGUCACUUCUACUCUUAGGAAAGAAGAUCAGAUAGUAUGUAUGUAUACACAUCCAGGUGCUCAAAUUUCAGGCACUUUGAACUACACGCUCUGUUUAGCACAGAUGGGCAGUGAGCCAGGAAGAAACCAUGACAUCUCACUGCUAUUGAAGACUUUAAACUCUUGCCAGCCUUAAACAAAAGCAAACGUUCUACAACGGAUCUGCUACUGUCAAUCAAUAAAGACUGAUUGGCUGAUUCAUAAUGGCCCUCCAAAAAUGUUCCUGUGUCGAUCCACAGAAUGUGUACCUUUUGCUACAUGGUGAGAGGGCCUUUAGAAAUGUGAUUAAAGAUCUCAAGAGAGGCUAAUCCAGGU